rnacentral:rRNA from 1 species
AUGGAGUACCAGCCUCUGGUGUCAGCCCUCGACGCUCGCACCUCCCCUGUCACCCUGGAUGAGUUGUUUACCAUGCUCAGCAACUUCGACCAAUGCAUGGCACUCUACCAGGGGGCGGGUGGCUUCAAGCCGUCCGUGAACGCCGCAUCACGCGGCCGCGGCAGUCGCCGCGGCGGUCCUCCACGCGGCAAGGCAUGCUCUGGUGGUGGCGGUAACAACUCCAACCCUCGCGCCGGACGUUCCCCCUCCACCAACCCCAAGGGACGCGGCGGUGGUGGUGGCCAUGGCUCCAACAGAGCACGCCCCGAUGCACCGCGCUGCCAGAUCUGCGGCAAGCUCGGGCACAGUGCUCGGGACUGCUGGUACCGCUACGACGUGGACGACGACUCCUCCCAGGACGAGGACAAGGUGGCGGCUGCUGCAGACGGCUCCUACGGCGUCGACACAAACUGGUAUGUCGACAGCGGGGCCACCGAACACAUCACCAGCGAGCUUGAGAAGGUGACCACGUGGGAGAAAUACCGCGGCAAGGACCAGAUCCACACUGCCAGUGGUGCAGGUAUGAGGAUUCGUCACGUUGGUCACACAAUUAUUAAAACUCCCCAUCGCAAACUUCAUCUUAAGAAAAUCUUGCAUGUCCCUAGUGCUAGCAUGAAUCUUCUCUCCGUUCAUAGAAUUUCCAUUGAUAAUCAUGUCUUCUUAGAAUUUCGUCCCUUUUUCUUUUUGAUCAAGGAUUAG